AGGUGGUGCAUGGUUGUCGUCAGCUCGUGUCGUGAGAUGUUGGGUUAAGUCCCGCACGAGCGCAACCCUUGUGUUUAGUUGCAAACAGGUUAAGCUGGGGACUCUAGCGGGACUGCCACCGUAAGGUGAGAGGAAGGUGGGGAUGACGUCAAAUCAGCACGGCCCUUAUGUCCAGGGCUACACACGUGUUACAAUGGCCGGUACAAAGGGCAGCUACUUCGCGAGAAGAUGCUAAUCUCGAAAGCCGGUCUCAGUUCGGAUCGAAGUCUGCAACCCGACUUCGUGAAGCUGGAUUCGCUAGUAAUCGCGCAUCAGCCAUGGCGCGGUGAAUACGUUCCCGGGCCUU
rnacentral:rRNA from 1 species